rnacentral:rRNA from 1 species
UCGAGGGCCCGAUACUCAGACCCUCCGCCCGGGGACUACGAGCAUUAGCUUAAAACCCAAAGGACUUGGCGGUGCUUUACCCCCCACUAGCAGGAGCCUGUUCUAGAACUGAUAACCCCCGUUGAACCUCACCAUCCCUCGUUUAACCCGCCUAUAUACCGCCGUCGUCAGCUUACCCUGUGAAGGCCAAAUAGUAAGCAAAAAUGGCUAAGCCAAAAACGUCAGGUCGAGGUGUAGUGAAUGGGAUGGGAAGAAAUGGGCUACAUUCUCUGCCACAGAGAAUACGAAUGGCAGCCUGAAAACCCUGCCUGAAGGUGGAUUUAGCA